CCUAAUCUCAGCUCCUCAAGCCGUCCAAUCUCCUGUGUUGUUGACACCACUUAAAUUGUGCCAUCCAAAUGCUAAGUAGUAAUAUGAUUGUUUUCAACAUCAGCUGUGGUUAGUUAUUGUUCCCAUAAUUUCAAUUAGAGACUGAUCAAUGGUCCCAAUUUUGCUUUUAUUUCUUAGGGCUAAAAUGAGGCUUUUCUUUGUCGCCUAUUGAUAUUGUUCACACUGAACUGUUGCUCUAACCUCUGUUUGUUGUUAAUUAGGUACUGGAGCAGCUGAGCGGCCAGUCACCGCAAGGUACACUAUGAGGUCGUUUGGGAUCCGGCGCAAUGAGAAGAUCACAUGCUAUGUGACGGCUUUAAACUGUACCAUGUCUCUUCUAUUUUCAGCUAGGCAGAGCAUGUUCUAUUUACAGCAGGCCAGCAGACACCAGACAGUAAGGUGAUGUAUGAGUCAAUUAUCAGGAUGGAAAUGUUUUUUGGCAGCUUUCUCAGUGAAUCAGUAUCACUGCAGAACCUUUUUGGACACCCAGAUGUCGAGAGAUGCCCAUUCCUGAGGAAUAUCAAUGGAGCUACAACCUUUUCCCUCUCUUAAGGAGGCAAGGGUCCAAUUUUUGAGGAAGGGUCAGGCUUUGAGUCAGCAUUCAAGCUUUUCCAUGGCCGAGAUGGAAUAGUUCCCCUUUCAGAAAGAUCAUAUGUAUCUGAUGAAAACCAUAAUGAGAGCAUUGACGUCAAGUUAUAUACUUAGUUAGGCUCAAUUUAGAGUACACUUAUGUAGAGUACACUUAUUUAUAUUGAACCGUCGGAGUUUCUACAUAUGUAUCAAGUUAUAUACUUAGUUAGGCUCAAUGUUAGCAUAAACAGUUGAUGAGCAACUUUAAAUUUAGAGUACACUUAUGUAUGAGUUAUUUGACAAUGCUUAUUUAUGAGACAUUGAAUGU